GCCUGUACUCAAAAGGGACUGUGGGCUACUCGUGGGCUGGUCAUUGGUCCUGUAGGAGGAGAUGCUGAGAACCUUUUCCCUGUUUGGGAGGUCCACUCCUGUCCUUGCUAAACCUUGGUGCUUCCAAACA